rnacentral:rRNA from 1 species
AUGUCGAAUCAACCAUUGUUAUACACUUUUAGUAGUACGGUGUGGGAUACUUUGUCUUUGUUUUCGGACAAUCAACUCGCAGUCCAGGUUGAAGUGACUAAAAAACGGUCCGUUUCUGAAUUGGGAUCUCCACCCCAUAUCACUAUCCCGACACACAACACAGCUUGUCCUUCUCUGAGUUUUCGCACUGCCAGACCUCCUCUCCGACUUCCGGCCUUUCCGCGAGCUCCGGCCGAUGUUGUACCACGCACGACACCUGGGGCCACCCCCGCGUCGUUGCAGUUUCCAUCUAGGAUGAUCAUAGCUUUCCCGAGCUUGGUCAACCAUUUGCAAUCUAACUAUUCGGUCAAUUGA